CACGUAGGGUGCGAGCGUUGUCCGGAAUUAUUGGGCGUAAAGAGCUCGUAGGCGGUGUGUCACGUCGGCCGUGAAAACCUGCAGCUUAACUGUGGGCGUGCGGGCGAUACGGGCAGACUUGAGUACUGCAGGGGAGACUGGAAUUCCUGGUGUAGCGGUGGAAUGCGCAGAUAUCAGGAGGAACACCGGUGGCGAAGGCGGGUCUCUGGGCAGUAACUGACGCUGAGGAGCGAAAGCGUGGGGAGCGAACAGG
rnacentral:rRNA from 1 species